rnacentral:rRNA from 1 species
UACGUAGGGUGCGAGCGUUGUCCGGAAUUAUUGGGCGUAAAGGGCUCGUAGGCGGUUUGUCGCGUCGGGAGUGAAAACCAGGUGCUUAACACCUGGCUUGCUUUCGAUACGGGCAGACUAGAGGUAUGCAGGGGAGAACGGAAUUCCUGGUGUAGCGGUGAAAUGCGCAGAUAUUGGGAGGAACACCAAUGGCGAAGGCAGCACCCUGGGCCGGUACUGACGCUGAGGAGCGAAAGCGUGGGGAGCAAACAGG